rnacentral:rRNA from 1 species
GCCUGUUUAUCAAAAACAUGUCUUUCUGUUAAAUAUUUAAAGUCUGGCCUGCCCAAUGAUUAUUUAAAUGGCCGCGGUAUUUUGACCGUGCAAAGGUAGCAUAAUCAUUAGUUUUUUAAUUGAAAGCUGGUAUGAAUGGUUUGACGAGAAAGUUGCUGUCUCUUUAAAAUUAAUUGAAUUUUAUUUUUUAGUUAAAAAGCUGAAAUUUUCAUAAGGGACGAGAAGACCCUAUAGAAUUUUAUAAUUAAAUGUUUAGUAAUUAUAUUGAUUUAUAUUUGUUAUAAAACUUUUAAUUAUUUUGUUGGGGCGAUAGGAAAAUUUAAUUAACUUUUUAUUAUUAAGAGCAUUGAUUUAUGUAUAUAUGAUCCAUUUUUUUUUUGAUUACAAGAGAAAAUUACCUUAGGGAUAACAGCGUUAUUAAUUUGGAGAGUUCAUAUCGAUAAAUUAGUUUGCGACCUCGAUGUUGGAUUAAAAUUAUCUUUAGGUGGAGAUACUUAAAAGUUAAGUCUGUUCGACUUUUAAAAUUUUACAUGAUCUGAGUUCAGACCGG